rnacentral:lncRNA from 1 species
AAUCUUGCUUCCUUCUUUUCAUUUACUAAAUAGGCUUUUGAGCCUCACAAGACUUUGAGAUUUUAUGGAUAUGAAACCUGCUAUCAUUUAGCAUCCUGCCUCUGGGAAUAGACAUGGAUUCUCACUAUGACACCCAGGCUGGAGUGCAGUGGCACAAUCAUAGCUGACUACAGCCUCGAAUUUCUGGGCUCAAGCAAGGCUUUCAUCUCAACCUCCCCAGGAGCUGGGAUUACAGAUGGUGUCAGAAGCGGGGUUCAAAGUAGAGCUUUAAUGACCCCCAGAAGUGCUGAGUGAACAAGCAAGGUACCUGCAAGGACCCACUUGUGUCCUUUGAUCUCUCAGAGCAGUGGAUCUGCUUGCUUCCCCUUUGCCUUCUGCCAUGAUUGUAAGUUUCCUGAGGCCUCCUACAUCAUGCCUCCUGUAUAGCCUGCAGAACUUAUUUACACACAGAUGCUCCAUGAUGGGUCACAUCCAAACUUAUCAUAAAGUCAAAAAAUUGUAAGUCAGACUAUCACAAGUCAGAAACCAUCUGUAUGUACAUUCUUGUGUCUAGUCACUUGUGUGGGAAUGAAGGAGGGAGGAGGGAAGAAGGAGGAGAGGUGUAUCUGGUGUAGAUAGUUUAAAUUCCAGAUUUCCCCUCAAGAGGAAAUUUUGGUCUUCAAAUUAUAAUUCUGUGGUUUUCCUGUUGUCUGCUGACAAGUUUUUAACUAAUGUAGAAUCAAGGGAUUUUACGCUACAGAAAGUUUAUUCCUAAGAUGAGUGUCUCGAUCUAAUCUUAUUUCAUAGUUGUUACAUCUGUGUAUGAAAUGUAUCAUUAUUUAUGUAUGUUUUCAACUCAUAUUUAUUCUUAAAUAUAUUUAGCCUUAUCCCAAACAAUAAUAAAUUGAAAUCACAGUUUGGUAUUACAUAUGUAUGUGUGAGAUACACACACACACACACACACACAGAGAUUCCAUUAAACAAUAAAAUUAAUAUAUAGUCAUAAAUAUGUGUUACUUAAGCCAGGGAUCAACAAACUUUUCCUGUAAAGAGCCUGGCAACAAAUGAUUUAGGGUUUUUUUAGACCCAGAGUAGUUUAUGUCACAGCUACUCAACUCUGCUGUUCUAGUACAACAGCCAUAGACAAAUAAAUGGAUGGGCAUGGUUGUGUUCCAGUAAAACUUUAUUUAUAAAAACAGGCUAGAUGUGGCCCAUGGGCUAUAUAUUUUAGUUCCAUGAUCUAGAUAUAUCCCACAUCACCAAUGAUAGGCAUACCAUUCUUUGCGAAAUAAUGCUUUAACAUAAUUUUUGAGUUAUGAUGCUAGUGUAUAUCCAGCCCUUUUGUACUUCUUAGAUAGCAUUCCUGGCCCCAAAAGUGUGGUGGGUUUCUGUCAAGAUCUGCACAACAAUGGAGAGAUUGAAAGAACCUAUGCUGGUAUUCCUGCUUAGAAAAGAAUAAAACACGCUCCUAUGCUGGUAUUCCUGCUUAGAAAAGAAUAAAACACGCUGUGCCGAUUAGUAUUUUAAGUUUUCUAAGUGUUCUCGGUGGUAGGUUGAAAAAAAGUAAUAUGAGUUAGCAGGCUUAAAAAUCUUAAAGUACAAAAAUUUUUAUAACACACUCACAUUUAUUACUUCAGUAAUAAGAUGUGUAUGUCAACUACAUAUCAUAUCUUUACUAUUAAAAUGUAAAUUCAUUGAGGGAGAGGACCUUGAAUAUUUAUUCUUGUUUCCCAUACAUUUCUGCAUGCAAUAAUAUCCUAAUAAUUAUUUACUGAAUGAAGAGUGAUAGAUGAAUAAUGAAUAAAUAAGAAAAUAGAGCAAGUAUAAAAUUAGAGGAAAAGAAAUAGUUAAGUAAAUAGCAUGUUAAUUUAUUUGC